rnacentral:rRNA from 1 species
GAUGAACGCUGGCGGCGUGCUUAAUACAUGCAAGUCGAGCGAACAGACGAGGAGCUUGUUCCUUUGACGUUAGCGGAGGACGGGUGAGUAACACGUGUGUAACCUACCUAUAAGACUGGGAUAACUUCGGGAAACCGGAGAUAAUACCGGAUAAUCUUUCGAACCGUAUGGUUCGAUAGUGAAAGAUGGCUUUGCUAUCACUUAUAGAUGGACCUGCGCCGUAUUAGCUAGUUGGUAAGGUAACGGCUUACCAAGGCAACGAUACGUAGCCGACCUGAGAGGGUGAUCGGCCACACAGGAGCUGAGACACGGUCCAGACACCGACGGGAGGCAGCAGUAGGUAAUCUACCGCAAUGGGCGAAAGCCUGACGGAGCAACGCCGCGUGAGUGAUGAAGGUCUUCGGAUCGUAAAACUCUGUUAUUAGUGAAGAAUAAACGUGUAAGUAACUGUGCACGUCUUGACGGUACCGAAUCAGAAGGCCACGGCUAACUACGU